rnacentral:rRNA from 1 species
GAUGAACGCUGGCGUCGUGCCUAAUACAUGCAAGUCGAGCGAACAGACGAGGAGCUUGCUCCUCUGACGUUAGCGGCGGACGGGUGAGUAACACGUGGAUAACCUACCUAUAAGACUGGGAUAACUUCGGGAAACCGGAGCUAAUACCGGAUAAUAUAUUGAACCGCAUGGUUCAAUAGUGAAAGACGGUUUUGCUGUCACUUAUAGAUGGAUCCGCGCCGCAUUAGCUAGUUGGUAAGGUAACGGCUUACCAAGGCAACGAUGCGUAGCCGACCUGAGAGGGUGAUCGGCCACACUGGAACUGAGACACGGUCCAGACUCCUACGGGAGGCAGCAGUAGGGAAUCUUCCGCAAUGGGCGAAAGCCUGACGGAGCAACGCCGCGUGAGUGAUGAAGGUCUUCGGAUCGUAAAACUCUGUUAUUAGGGAAGAACAAAUGUAUAAGUAACUAUGCACGUCUUGACGGUACCUAAUCAGAAAGCCACGGCUAACUACGUG